UACAGAGGUGGCGAGUGUUGUUCGGAUUUACUGGGCGUAAAGGGUCCGCAGGCGGUCUUGUGUGUCAGAUGUGAAAUGCCACGGCUUAACCGUGGAAUUGCAUUUGAAACUACAGGACUAGAGUACAGGAGGGGAGAUGGGAAUUCAUGGUGUAGCGGUGAAAUGCGUAGAUAUCAUGAGGAACACCGGUGGCGAAAGCGCAUCUCUGGACUGAUACUGACGCUCAUGGACGAAAGCUGGGGGAGCAAAAGGAAUUAGAUACU
rnacentral:rRNA from 1 species